GAAAUGCGGUAAGUAAUGUGAAUUGCAGAAUUCAGUGAAUCAUCGAAUCUUUGAACGCAUCUUGCGCUCCUUGGUAUUCCUUGGAGCAUGCCUGUUUGAGUAUCAUGAAAUCUUCAAAGUAAAUCUUUUGUUAACUCAAUUGGUUUCUACUUUGGUAUUGGAGGUCUUUGCAGCUUCACACCUGCUCCUCUUUGUUCAUUAGCUGGAUCUCAGUGUUAUGCUUGGUUCCACUCGGCGUGAUAAGUUAUCUAUCGCUGAGGACACUGUAAAAGGUGGCCAAGGUAAAUGCAGAUGAACCGCUUCUAAUAGUCCAUUGACUUGGACAAUACUUUUAUGAUCUGAUCUCAAAUCAGGUAGGACUACCCGCUGAACUUAAGC
rnacentral:misc_RNA from 1 species